AUUGAACGCUGGCGGCAGGCCUAACACAUGCAAGUCGAGCGGAUGAAGGGAGCUUGCUCCUGGAUUCAGCGGCGGACGGGUGAGUAAUGCCUAGGAAUCUGCCUGGUAGUGGGGGAUAACGUCCGGAAACGGGCGCUAAUACCGCAUACGUCCUGAGGGAGAAAGUGGGGGAUCUUCGGACCUCACGCUAUCAGAUGAGCCUAGGUCGGAUUAGCUCGUUGGUGGGGUAAAGGCCUACCAAGGCGACGAUCCGUAACUGGUCUGAGAGGAUGAUCAGUCAAACUGGACCUGAGACACGGACCAGACUCCUACGGGAGGCAGCAGUGGGGAAUAUUGGACGAUGGGCGAAAGCCUGAUCCAGCCAUGCCGCGUGUGUGAAGAAGGUCUUCGGAUUGUAAAGCACUUUAAGUUGGGAGGAAGGGCAGUAAGUUAAUACAUGGCUGUUCUGACGUUACCAACAGAAGAAGCACCGGCUAACUUCGUG
rnacentral:rRNA from 1 species